GGGGGUGUAGCUCAGUGGUAGAGUGUGUGCUUAGCAUGCACAAGGCCCCAGGUUCGAUCCCUGGCACCUCCA